rnacentral:piRNA from 1 species
UGCACUCGUUUGGUCUGGUUCAUGUACAC